rnacentral:lncRNA from 1 species
CUAAUGAUUAUUUCACAUCUUGAAAAAAGAGUUACACGUGCUAUAGAGAUUUGAAAUAUGAAAGUCUGCUUAAGCGUUACACACUUGGCUACGAAGUUUUAACAAAAUGUCAAUCUUUUCUUGACACUUACAUCAGUCAAGUUUAUGAGAUGUGAAAUUAUCAUUCCAUAGACUCAGAAAGUUAAGGUAGAACAGGAUGGCCAUGGUUUACAUGAGAUUUCUUUGAGACAUGCUAAGUGUGAAUGUCCAUUAAACUUUAACAUGGAGAUGCAGAGUUCACAUUAUGAUCUUCCAUUGAAGAUUUGGAGGAAAACGCUGAGCUAGAAAUAUUUUUUGGUGGAUUUCUCAGCCUAGAGGUGAUAUUUAAUGCAGAGAAUAUCUAAGAUCAUCAACGGAAUGAGAGUAGACCAGAAAUAAUCCAAAAAAUUGGUCUAGGGCCCUCCAAAGUUUAUGG